AUAUCUAACGCAUUGUAUAGAUAGUUAUAUCCUCAUACAUCUAAAAACUUAUUAGUAAAAGAAAUACAUUACUUAUAUAGCUGAUUUAUGGAUCGUAAUGCCAGAUGGACAAUAGAACAUUCAUCCGACAAACCUCGUCAAACUGGAAGCUAUCGAGUAAGAAAUGAAGAGAUCGUAAAGGAAACCAGAACUGUUAAGCGUGUUUACCAGCUACAGCCGUCGAAUAAGAGAAAUGCUACGAUUAUUCAGUUGUCGUACGUUGGAGAUGAUAUCUUCUACAUUCUCUUUCAGGGAAGAGACCAAUCCGAAAUAGUCAAAUAUAACUCAAGAAACUUAUCGAAAUCUAUACCAGUUUAUAGGGAACCAAGAUUAAUUUUUGGUUUUGCCAUCGAUCACCAACAACAAUAUAUUUAUUUAUCGAAUCGGUACGAGGGAGCCGUGCAAAUAUGGACAAUGAAGAAAAGACAUCAUAUGCCUAAUCUGGAAAUCAGAUUGAACCAAUUGGGCAGAUUCGUCUCUCAGCUAAAAUUAAUAAAUAACAGACUACUCUUAUGCCUUGAAACGGACGGCGCUCUUAUUUUAAGUAAACAAGACAGUAACGAAAAUGCGAGACCAGAUUGGAAAAUAGAAUGGAAUAGUAAAACCGAAGGUUCAAAGAUUAUUUCGGCCGAUCUCCUAAAUGAAGAAGUCAUAUUACUAUGUGAUGAAAAUAAACAAUCAGUAUUUAUGAUUAACUGGAGAGAUGAUUGUAUCUUAAGAAGGAUUAAUCAAUUAAUAGACCCGAUUGAAAUAAUCAGCUUUCCAGAUGACGAAACAUUCAUCGUCUGUAACGAAAGUUAUAGACUAGAUAUGUACGAUAAGAAUGGAAAUUACAUGAAAAAUUUACUAAUCCCUCUACCAUACGCACCCCAUAGAAUUGCUUUUAAUAAUGACGGAAAUCAGCUAAUAUUCAUUUAUGGAAAAACUAAUAAAAUGUUAGGAAUUUUCUAAUAAUCUACCAUUUUGUUUAUUAUUGUUUCUCCUCUCUCUCUCUCUUUAUUUUUGUAUAUGUUAAUUAGGUUCUUCUUAUUGGAAAAAUAAAUAAAGAUUAAUUGGAUUUUAUUACUUUUUAUUCCAUUUUGUUGAUUAAUACAAAAAAUGGUUUAUAUAUAAGAUAGAAGCGAUCAUUCAUUCAUUUCCUUGCUGAUAACUAGGCUAAAAGAAGGUGUUUAUGUAAUUAUUUAUUUUUAUUAAAACACUAAUCACAUUUCAUAACUAAUAACCAACUUUCUUCUUUGUCAUUAACUACCAAACACUGUUUUGAUAACAAUUUACUUCUAAUAAUCCAAAGUUGUCAGGGAUCUUUGUCUAUCUCCUCAAAGUUUAUUCUUAUUUAAUAAAAAGGUAAUUUCGAGUAAGAAAUCACCAAGUGGUCGAACUUGAAAAGAAGUGCUCGAAAACGUAAUAUUAUUCGGGCUAAAUAUCAAUCAUAAAUUACGACCAUAGUAAUUUAAAUAAUACCAUAAUCAAACAAAACUUGCAAUUGUAAGACUACUGUAUUCAUUUUUUUUUCUCGCUUAAUCGCAAAAGUUCGUGGGAAAAUCUUGCCCACUUUGACUUCUUAUUAGUUUGUACUCUCUUACCGAAAAGAGUGUUAUUUUUUUUUUUUU
rnacentral:misc_RNA from 1 species